CUACGGGUCGCUCCAGUCGAGAAUCAUCCGCAAUGGGCGAAAGCCUGACGGUGCAAUGCCGCGUGAGGGAUGACGGCCUUCGGGUUGUAAACCUCUGUCAGGAGGGGCGAAGAAGUGACGGUACCUCCAGAGGAAGCCACGGCUAACUACGUGCCAGCAGCCGCGGUAAUACGUAGGUGGCGAGCGUUAUUCGGAUUUACUGGGCGUAAAGGGUCCGCAGGGGGUUUGCCAAGUCUGAUGUGAAAGCCCAAGGCUCAACUUUGGAAUUGCAUUGGAUACUGGCGAACUAGAGUGCACGAGGGGUGAGCAGAAUUCUUGGUGUAGCGGUGGAAUGCGUAGAUAUCAAGAAGAAUACCGAUGGCGAAGGCGGCUCACUGGCGUGCCACUGACCCUCAUGGACGAAAGCGUGGGGAGCGAACAGGAUUAGAUACCCCAGUAGUC
rnacentral:rRNA from 1 species